rnacentral:rRNA from 1 species
AGACGGGUGAGUAACAUGUAGGUAUCUUCCCAUUGGUGAGGAAUAACACGAGGAAACUUGUGCUAAUACCUCAUAAGUCUUUACGGAGAAAGCUUUAUGCGCCGAUGGAUGAGCCUGCACUUGAUUAGUUUGUUGGUAGGGUAAUGGCCUACCAAGACAAUGAUCAAUAGCUGAUUUGAGAGGAUGAUCAGCCACAUUGGGACUGAGACACGGCCCAAACUCCUACGGGAGGCAGCAGUAGGGAAUCUUGCACAAUGGGGGAAACCCUGAUGCAGCGAUGCCGCGUGAGUGAAGAAGGCCUUUGGGUUGUAAAGCUCUUUCGUCGGGGAAGAAAAUGACUGUACCCGAAUAAG